UUUAUAAAAAAGGUUAUAAAAAAGGACUGUUGAUGUUUUAAUAUAGUAUGUGAUUAAUGUGAUAUUAUAAAAGAUUGACCGUAAAUAAAUGGAAGUUUAAACGACUUUAAUGCAUUUAAUUAAUUAAUUAAUAAACUUUAUCAUUAUUAAUCGUAAUACUUUGGGUGAGCUUAUACAACCUUCUCGAAAUCUGAUAAGCAAUGUAUAAUUGAGUCGUGAAUAUAAUUCUUGAAUCUGAGGCAAUGGCAAUGAGAUUCUAAGUCUACAAUAUACGUUAGUCUUCAAUAUAUCCAGGAAUGAAAGAGUAAUACUGAUAUUCUGAAAAUCAAGUGAAAUCAUUGAUCUGGCUAAGUUUUUUCAAACUCAUGGUGAGAAUUGAGGAAUCUCACAAGUGCAUUUAUGUAGUUAGUGGCAGUAUAAACUGAGGAGAGGUUCGUUUUCAGCCUUUCAAGUAAUUAGAAUUAGGAGUUCUGACAAACUAACUAGCAUGUUCAUUGAGACAUUACUUUUAUUGUGAACUAAGAAGUUUAUCGAUUACUAUAGAGCUGAUAUCUAGGUGGCUGUGAAGCAAAGCAAAGCUGAGAUCAAUUGACAUUGAAUUAUUCAAAUCAACUAGGUUUAUGCAGUGCUUUGAAAGGCUAGAAUGAAGUUCAAACAAGGGUGCUAUCCUAUAAGUGCAGCUACUAAAUGUGAGUGUUUCUUUCAUUUUUCUAUCAAUUUAUUAUACUUACUGCUGAACACAAUAAUGUGAUUUUAUUAUUACGUCACAUUAUUAGACAUCAAAUUAGAAAAUGUUUUUGGAUACCUGAGAUUUUUGAGCUCAGAAGAAGUUUAGGGGAUUGUUGAGAAACUGUAGGCCACCUACAUCAACGCCCUUCAAACAACGUGGGUUUUUUUGACUUCCCUAUAACAAGCAAUUUCAACUUUUCUGAACAACUCAUAUUGCUUGCAACCAUAACUGUAAUUCUCUCCUUGCUAUUUUUGCCACCAAAGCAUUUUGACCUUUAAAUGUUUUGUUGGGUAAACAUUUAAAAAAAAAUACCCGUUUCAUCAGCGUUAAAAAUAUCGUUUUCGUCGAAUUGUCUGAUUAAAUCUGGCAAAACAUUUUUCCAAACUUCACUAGAUUUCGAAUCUGCAGAAGCACUUUUACCACAAACUGAUAUUUGGGCGAUAUUAUGUCUACACUAGCUGCAAAAUCUUCGCGACCCAAAGCAGCAGCAUAUUCUAGAGCUUUCUGUCUGAUUAAGACUCCUGAGAGAAUAUUUUGGGCACGCGCGGUAGAAACCCACUUAAUCAUAGCAUCAUUAUACCAUUAUUCACACAUUCAGCCUUUUCCGUUUCUAGUUAGACUCAAAGUGACCUUGUUUUUCUAAAUGUUUGUCUUUGUUCUUCAAAUUGGUUGAUAAUGUGUUUUGGGCAAUCCCAAAUUUUUGUGCAAUGACUUUCUUCCUCAGCAAUUAAUUUCAAUUAUUCCUUUAGCGUUAAACACUUUGAGUUUUGCUUUGAUGCCAUUUUAGUUUACCACUGAAAUUAUGAAAAUAUGUGAGAUUCCGGGGAUCUUCAAGUAUACCAUUCAAUGAUUUACUACUCUAAUAGAAAACAAUUUAUUUAACCCUUAAAUCUUAACAUGGAACAUGAGUCUCUACUCAUAGACUUACUUACUCACUAAAAAUCUAAAUUAACCUAUGCUUACGUCAUAGUGGAACCAUAGACAUAGAAUACAAAUCUAUAACUUGACAAAUAUCACCCAACACGAAGCCUUUCUUAAAUUUGAGAUCUGUUACUAAUUAGACUAGAAAUAUUUAUAGUACCUUCGGGUUGCUAAAUCGUACCCACAUCCCAACUAUAGAAACACAUGUGUAAGAGUUGCAUUUAACAUAAAUGUAUUUUUUGGUACCAGCAGUCAUUCCAGAACAAAUUUGGUGGACCCAUCGUCUACACUUAAGGCACCAUAACAUAUUUUCAAUUAGAAUUUUUUUGCAAAUGAAACAAUACCAUUCUGAUGGAUCAACUUCUACAACAACAUCUUUAUUGGAGCGGUACUCUGCAAUGACUAUGAUUAAAGCGAUUCUGGCACCUCCACCAAAAAACAUUUUUUGGAACCCUUUCAAUUCCCCCAAAGGCCUUCUACCCACCUGCCUCUGUGGUACUUUCGGUGGAAGAAUUUGGAUUCAUCUAUUUCCACCACUUUGGAUGUACCGUCUUCAUUAAUUCCUCCGAUAACUAUUUCAUUUUGUAUGAAAUAGUUCUCGCACACCUCCCGGCAAAAAUUAUACCAGUCAGGCACUGUCGAACUAUU